GUUAUUUAGUAAUAGUGGCUUGGAGGGAGGGGACACUAUGGAAGUAUUUUAGUUGUAAUGGUUUGGAGUCCAGGGGGGUUGUUUUGUAGUAGUGGCUUGGAGGCUGAGGGGUCUAGGUGUGUUAUUUAGUAGAAGUUGCUUGGAGGCUGAGGGGGCUAGGUGUGUUCUUUAGUAGAAGUGGCUUGGAGGCUGAGGGGGCUAGGUGUGUUCUUUAGUAGAAGUGGCUUGGAGGUUGAGGAGGCUAGGGGGGUUAUUUAGUAGUAGGUGCUUGGAGUCUAGGAGGGUUAUUUAUUAGUAUGUCCUUGGAGGCUAGGAGGGUUAUUUAGUAGUAUGUGCUUGGAGGCUGAGGGGGCUAGGUGUGUUCUUUAGUAGAAGUGGCUUGGAGGCUGAGGGGGCUAGGUGUGUUCUUUAGUAGAAGUGGCUUGGAGGCUGAGGGGGCUAGGUGUGUUCUUUAGUAGAAGUGGCUUGGAGGUUGAGGAGGCCAGGGGGGUUAUUUAGUAGUAGGUGCUUGGAGUCUAGGAGGGUUAUUUAUUAGUAUGUCCUUGGAGGCUAGGAGGGUUAUUUAGUAGUAUGUGCUUGGAGGCUGAGGGGGCUAGGUGUGUUCUUUAGUAGAAGUGGCUUGGAGGCUGAGGGGGCUAGGUGUGUUCUUUAGUAGAAGUGGCUUGGAGGCUGAAGGGGCUAGGUGUGUUCUUUAGUAGAAGUGGCUUGGAGGCUGAAGGGGCUAGGUGUGUUCUUUAGUAAUAGUGGCUUGGAGGCUAGGUGUGUUAUUUGGUAGAACUGGAUUCGAGGCUAUGGGAGUAAUUUAUUAAUAUUCUUUUGGUGGCUACAGGGGUUAUUUAGUAGUAGUGGCUUGGAGGUUUUGGAAGCUAGGGGGUUAAUUUGUAGCAAUGGCUUGGAGGCUAGGGGGGUUAUUUAGUAGUAGUGGCUUGGAGGCU